rnacentral:rRNA from 1 species
UACGAAGGGGGCGAGCGUUGUUCGGAUUUACUGGGCGUAAAGGGCGCGCAGGCGGCCCUGUUUGUCGAGUGUGAAAGCCCCGGGCUCAACCUGGGAACGGCGCUCGAAACGGCAGGGCUAGAGAUCGGGAGAGGAGCGUGGAAUUCCCAGUGUAGAGGUGAAAUUCGUAGAUAUUGGGAAGAACACCGGUGGCGAAGGCGGCGCUCUGGACCGAUACUGACGCUGAGGCGCGAAAGCGUGGGGAGCAAACAG